rnacentral:rRNA from 1 species
UGAUUCCUACGGGAGGCAGCAGUCGAGAAUCCUUCACAAUGGGGGAAACCCUGAUGGUGCGACGCCGCGUGGGGGAAUGAAGGUCUUCGGAUUGUAAACCCCUGUCAUGUCGGGGCAAAUUAAAAAGAUAGUACCACAAGAGGAAGAGACGGCUAACUCUGUGCCAGCAGCCGCGGUAAUACAGAGGUCUCAAGCGUUGUUCGGAAUCACUGGGCGUAAAGCGUGCGUAGGCUGUUUCGUAAGUCGUGUGUGAA